UACGGGGGGGGCAAGCGUUGUUCGGAAUUACUGGGCGUAAAGGGCUCGUAGGCGGCCAACUAAGUCAGACGUGAAAUCCCUCGGCUUAACCGGGGAACUGCAUCUGAUACUGGAUGGCUUGAGUUCGGGAGAGGUGAGUGGAACUGCGAGUGUAGAGGUGAAAUUCGUAGAUAUUCGCAAGAACACCAGUGGCGAAGGCGGCUCACUGGCCCGGUACUGACGCUGAGGUGCGAAAGCGUGGGGAGCAAACAGG
rnacentral:rRNA from 1 species